rnacentral:rRNA from 1 species
UUGUCUCAAAGAUUAAGCCAUGCAUGUCUAAGUACAUACUAUAAUAAAGUAAAACCGCGAAAGGCUCAUUAAAUCAGUUAUGGUUCAUUAGAUCGUACCACUAUAAGUUUACUUGGAUAACUGUGGUAAUUCUAGAGCUAAUACAUGCAAACAGAAUUCUGACCGGAGACGGGAGGAAUGCUUUUAUUAGAUCAAAACUAAUCGAUGUCGGAAUUUUUUUUCCGUUUAUCGUAAAUUUUUUAUGUGUUGAAUCUGAAUAACUUUUGCUGAUCGCAUGGUCUUGUACCGGCGACGCAUCUUUCAAAUGUCUGCCUUAUCAACUGUCGAUGGUAGGAUCUGCGCCUACCAUGGUUGUAACGG